rnacentral:rRNA from 1 species
UCGUUGUACUCGAGCAUCCACCAGUGGGUGGUCUCCCGAACCUCUGCCAGAUUGCGGAAGAGGUACAGAGAGCCAGACCGGAAGGAGAAUACCGUCCGGCAGGAGUCCCCCGAGGGUCUUGGU